UACGUAGGGUAGCAAGCGUUGUCCGGAUUUACUGGGCGUAAAGAGCGCGCAGGCGGUCGCUCAAGUCGCGUGUGAAAGCCCCCGGCUCAACUGGGGAGGGUCACGCGAUACUGAUCGACUGGAAGGCAGGAGAGGGUAGUGGAAUUCCCGGUGUAGUGGUGAAAUGCGUAGAUAUCGGGAGGAACACCAGUGGCGAAGGCGACUACCUGGCCUGUUCUUGACGCUGAGGCGCGAAAGCUAGGGGAGCAAACGGGG
rnacentral:rRNA from 1 species